rnacentral:rRNA from 1 species
GACGAACGCUGGCGGCGUGCUUAACACAUGCAAGUCGAACGGAAAGGCCCCCUUUUUGGGUACUCGAGUGGCGAACGGGUGAGUAACACGUGAGUAACCUACCCCUGACUUUGGGAUAACUUCAGGAAACAGGGGCUAAUACCGGAUAGGAGCUCCUGCUGCAUGGUGGGGGUUGUAGAGUUUCGGCGGUUGGGGAUGGACUCGCGGCUUAUCAGCUUGUUGGUGGGGUAGUGGCUCACCAAGGCUUUGACGGGUAGCCGGCCUGAGAGGGUGACCGGCCACAUUGGGACUGAGAUACGGCCCAGACUCCUACGGGAGGCAGCAGUGGGGAAUAUUGCACAAUGGGCGGAAGCCUGAUGCAGCAACGCCGCGUGCGGGAUGACGGCCUUCGGGUUGUAAACCGCUUUCGCCUGUGACGAAGCGUGAGUGACGGUAAUGGGUAAAGAAGCACCGGCUAACUACGUG